rnacentral:lncRNA from 1 species
GACUAGCGAUUUAUUUUAGAAUUUCUAACACAUGAGAAGGUAUUGAACUGACCUCCAAAAAUGUGUCCAUUUUUUCGUAGUUGAACGAGCAUGGGAUUAUAAACGAGAGGUUGGAAUCUACUCUUGGGUUUGCCUUAAAUAAAUUUUGCAGCAUCGGGAAGUGGAUUUUCUUUGAUGAACCUCUAUCUUAUCUCUGAAUUUGGCCAGAUCGAGCUAGAUUUCAGCUAAUGUUCUCUCUGAGCUCCCAAAUCCCAUGGUUUGCUCUCUUUCUGUUCAGAUGAUAAACCAGUACACUUUUCGCAAAAAAAGCCUGGUGUCUAUAUAAAUGCAGUGGAUGAAAAGUGGACACUGAUUUCUCUUCUCACUAUAACACUUUUAUUGCAAUUCUGCUUUCCUGGGGAGGAGGCAAGAUACAGCUGAAAGCUACUAUUUAUUAAUGGCUUACUAAAUCAUGCUAAGUGCUUACAUGCAUUAUCCAAUUGGAUUCAUAGGAACUUCAUGAUAUAGGUAGUAUUAUUAUUAGCAGCCACAUUUUUAUCUGUGAGAAGGCUGAGGUUCAGAGAGGUUGAGUGACUUAGCUAAAGUCACACAGCAUUAAGGAGUAGAAGCAAGCUGAUUACGCAGCCCACUGUCUUAGCCAUUAUGCUGUAUUGACUGUUUCUUAUAGAGGGUCUGCUCUUUGUCAGGCUCUGUGGUAGGCAAUCCACAGGCAUUCUUUCAUUAAAUGAUCACAGUGCUCCUAUGGAGAAAAUCUCAUUAACUGCAUGCAUUUUCUUUGUAAGAGCAGUGAGAAAUGAUAGGACCAAGGUAUAUUAAGGAUAAUUAGAGCUCACAAACAUAAAUAGGAAGAACCUGACGCUUUGAUAUGGACGCUGUUUAAGGAAUAUGAAUGCCAUUCUACAGGCUAUAGCUUUCCUCUGGCUUAGACUGUUUGUCAUUAUCUAUAAAGCCAGCCACUGCUUUGUUUGAUUUUUUUUUUAUUCUGGCAUUAAUAAAAAUGAAAAGUUUUUAUUAUGUUAUUAUAUAAUGUUUAAUAUAUAAACAUUGUAUUAUAAUGGAUUAUAAACAUUUUAUAGUAGAUUAUAAUAAGUUUAUAUGUAAUAUAUAAUAUAUGGCACUUUGAAUUUUUUAAAUUCUGAGAUUAAAUAGAAAAUGAAAAGGUUUUAUUAUAUUAUAUAAUAUAGUUUAUAUAAUAUAUGAGUAUGUUGUUAUAAUGGAUUAUAAACAUUUCCUAUAAUGGAUUAUAAUAAGUUUAUAUUAUAUAUAUUUAUAAAUAUAGUUUAUUACAAUAUUGUAUAAUAUAGGCUAUUAUUAUAGCCUCUGCCCUCAAGAAAUUCAGGUUUCUAUUCAGGACUGUGAGAUCUUGUCAAGUUAGUAACUUCUCUGACUCUGAGCUUUCCAUAUCUACAGCUAUACAAUGAGUAUAAUUCCUGCCUGUAGGGCUGUUAUGAUUAUUAGGGACAAUAUAUGCAUCUGUAACAAUGCCAAAAAUAUAAAAGACACUCAAUAAGUAGUAACUGCAGUUAUUUUUAUUAUUGUUCUGUAUUAUUAUUGUUCUUGAUCCCACUAGAACUUUUUGAUAUCAAGGGACAUGUCUUUGUACAGUGCUUUUCAGAUAACAAGCAUACGAAAAUAUUUUUAAAUAAAAUAAUUUGAGCGAUGUCCAGUGGUUAUACAUCCUUUUCACUGACAGGACUAGUUAGGAGGGACCAAUUACAGUUUCCACAAGAACCCAUGAGAUUAACGAGCUUUGGAAAUGAGCUCUGGAAAUGGAUGUGAAGUGCGUGUACCUAAAAGGUCAGAGGAGGAGGGAUGGUGAGGAUUUGGUGAUGGUCUGGAAAUGGUGAGGGGUGGAAGAGGGAACGAGUCAAGGAUCACUGAACUUUCCAGCUUGAAUGGUUGGGUCAGGAAAAAUGUGACGAGGAGCAGGUAUGGGGUAGAAAGGAAUUCGAAUAGUUCAGUUUGGGAUGUGUUGAGUUUGAGGUGUGUGGAAGGCAGCUGGACACAUGGGUCUGAAGAGAUGGAAUGUGGUGGAUCUCAGAGGCUCUGAGAGUGGACACAGGCUAUUCAGGGCUGUUGGCAGGUUCAUUCAGAAUAGAUUUGCUGGAAGAAACUGACCAAGAAAUUGUCUAUUAUUUGCAUACCAGCUUCCAUGAGCUUACCUGCUGUUUGGUUUCUUCUGUCAUCUAUCAAAACCUUUCCUUUGUUUAUUCAUUUUUGGCCUUUCCUACUUUUGUCAAUUCCAUGUUGCAUUUUAACAUUGGCCUUUAAAGCUUCGAGAAAACCCUGUCAGUUCAUAAUGUGAAAAUUUCAGGCAAGCAUAAAAGGGGAUGAGUGUGCGAAUUUUCAGAAGGUUUAGAAGUGAUUUCUUAGCACUUACUAAACCAUGAUCUUUUGGUACAUAUGAGAACUCUAGGUUGUAUUUUAGUAUAGGUCCCUACAAAUUUCUUCUCAUCCCAAAUACGUUAGACCUAGUUUACUACUUUGAUGCUAAAUUCAGUGCUUUAUUUUCUUAUGUUUAUUGUCUGCAGAAACACAUUAAACCAAAAAAAUGACACAUGGGGUUAAAAACUCAUAACAUAAAUCUCAGUGACUAAACACAAUAUAACAAUUGUAUUAUUGCUAUUAUAAAUGAAAUUACUCCCUAAUAUAAAUUAUGAAUUUCCUUUUCUAAUGUUCUUAAAGAUUAUAUCAUUUCCUUGCCCAUUUCCUUAAGCAAAAUAGGCUAGCUAAUUUUAUCCUCAGUCAUUUCCAGGCAAACAACUGUACUACAUUAGCAACUCUAUGCUUGGAUACUCAGCUCAAGGCCUGCUCUCUUCCUCUGCAAACCUUUCUUCCAUUCACUGCCACAAAGUUUUACAAGGCCAAUUUUGAAGCUUCAAAGUCUAGGGGAAAAAAUAAAAACAAAAACUAAAACAAAAAACUUCCGAGACUUAAAGUAUCACUAAUACUUUUACAAUCUACUUCCCCACAGCUACCAAAAUAAAAAAGAAAUAAAAAA